UCCCUGGUAGUAUAUCGGUUAGUACACGCGCCUGUCAUGAGGGAACAUAACAGAUUUGCCGCGCGAAAGCUGGGUUCGACUCCCAGCCAGGGAG